rnacentral:rRNA from 1 species
AUACGUAGGUGACAAGCGUUAUCCGGAUUUACUGGGCGUAAAGGGCGUGUAGGCGGUCUUGCAAGUCAGAAGUGAAAUUCCUGAGCUCAACUCGGGCGCUGCUUCUGAAACUGCAGGACUUGAGUGCUGGAGGGGAUAGCGGAAUUCCUAGUGGAGCGGUAAAAUGCACUGAUAUUAGGAAGAACACCGGGGGCGAAGGCGGCUAUCUUGACAGUAACUGACGCUGGGGCGCGAAUGCGUGGGGAGCAAACAGGAUUAAGUUCCCUGGUAGUCCACGCCGUAAACGAUGAAUACUAGGUGUAGGGGGUAUCGACUCCCUCUGUUCCUCAGUUAACACAAUAAGUAUUCCGCCUGUGGAGUUCGGCCGCAAGGUUGAAACUCAAAGGAAUUGACGGGG